GAUGAACGCUGGCGGCGUGCCUAAUACAUGCAAGUCGAGCGAACAGACGAGGAGCUUGCUCCUCUGACGUUAGCGGCGGACGGGUGAGUAACACGUGGAUAACCUACCUAUAAGACUGGGAUAACUUCGGGAAACCGGAGCUAAUACCGGAUAAUAUAUUGAACCGCAUGGUUCAAUAGAGAAAGACGGUUUUGCUGUCACUUAUAGAUGGAUCCGCGCCGCAUUAGCUAGUUGGUAAGGUAACGGCUUACCAAGGCGACGAUGCGUAGCCGACCUAAGAGGGUGAUCGGCCACACUGGAACUGAGACACGGUCCAGACUCCUACGGGAGGCAGCAGUAGGGAAUCUUCCGCAAUGGGCGAAAGCCUGACGGAGCAACGCCGCGUGAGUGAUGAAGGUCUUCGGAUCGUAAAACUCUGUUAUUAGGGAAGAACAAAUGUGUAAGUAACUAUGCACGUCUUGACGGUACCUAAUCAGAAAGCCACGGCUAACUACGUG
rnacentral:rRNA from 1 species